rnacentral:lncRNA from 1 species
GCAUAAAAACCUUUGCAUCCAACAUCCCUGCCUCCGUGGGCUUUGUCUGGCCUUUUUGAACUGAUGGCUUUUGAGCAAAUGGUCUUUCUACAGUGUUUGUCUCCACCACCUGGCCAUAAUGACAUCUGGAAUAAUGCAGCCUCAUGCAGAUCUUGUCUCCAGAGGUCUUGUUUGCCUCUGGUGUAUGUGUACCUCAUUGAGUGGAAGAGAUGUGAUCCUUUCUUCAGUUUCAGCUGGACAUCUCUGCUGAAGGUGGAUUUCUGCAGCUUGAAAAGGAGGAACCAGACAUCUGUCUUGUAAACUAUAAUCCAGGCUGGUGAUUAAGGCUUACAUUUAGGACAUGGGAAGAUGAUUUCCUAAAUAUAAUCUUAUUAUGAAUUGAGCCCCGUUUUCCCUUCUCCAGAGGGAGCCAGAAUAGAAGCAGAAAUACCAGAUCCAUUGGGUCCAGAGGAAAUAUGUGGAAGGGAUGAUGAAAUUAUG